rnacentral:rRNA from 1 species
UGCGUAGGUGGCGAGGUAAGUUCGAUGUGAAAUCCCCGGGCUCAACCCGGGAACUGCAUUGAAAACUCUCUCGAUAGAGGGUCGGAGGGGAGACUGGAAUUCUUGGUGUAGCAGUGAAAUGCGUAGAUAUCAAGAGGAACACCAGUGGCGAAGGCGAGUCUCUGGACGAUACCUGACACUGAGGCACGAAAGCUAGGGGAGCAAACA